UCUCUUUCUGUAUACAUCGUUCACCGUAGCAAUCCCUAAGCACGUAAUGUCCAGUGUAACCUGAUUCUUGUGAUCUUUCUAAUUGUGUGUCGGUGUUGUGAACGAUCGUAGUCUCUUCUGCCUUCUUUUUUCUAUUGCAUAUUUUUUACCGUUCGAUAUAACAUAUACGAGCCGUAAGAAAAGAUUCAAUCGAGCCUGUAGCAUUAUUAUACCCGACACCAGGGUAACGAGCAAUAUUUCUGUGAUAUUUAUUAUGACUGGUAAUUUCUCGUCGGUGUUUCUCGUGUGUGACAACCCACGGACGUUCAAUCUGAAAGGAAGGCUCGCCUAUAAGACACGCCGGUGAAACGAUUUUCCACAAAUUUCCGAGGGGCACGUAUACGCACCGAGCUUCUAUACCCCCGUCUUUUUUCUACCAAAAGAGCUUAGAUCGUUAAGGGACCGAAGACAGAGCUUCUUUUUUAUUACAUACAACGUAUAAUACGUGCACGCGCGUACACCCGUCUACCGAAGUCUUUCGUGUACUAUCUAUUAUACUUACAUAUACAUACAUAGUGUAUUUAUUAAAAUCAUCCAAAAUUCCUGUGGCUAACGUGACCGAGUCUUACCCGAAGGCGGAUACGAUCGCGAAUUGUGGUGGUGCCGCCAGCAUGGGUCAGAUUGGAAAUGACACUCAUAUUCUGUUGAUGGAUGCGUUCCUCCAGAACAACAGGCUGGAUCAUGUCUCCAGGGUGAUGGCCUCGCAUCCCACGUACUUGGAGCACUUCCUCCGUACCCAACAUUUCAUCCUGCGAGGUGACGGACCGCUUCCUUACGACUACAGGCAUCUCAUCGCCAUUAUGGCCGCUGGUAGGCAUCAAUGCAGCUAUCUCAUCAACCUGCAGAAAGGAGAGUUCAUUCUCCAGGGCGGCGAUCCGUCCUGGCUUCGAGGGCUCAAGUCGAUCCCAGGGAAGUUGCAAGAUCUCUAUGAGAUCAACAAGAUUCUAGCUCACAGGCCGUGGUUGCUGAACAAAACGCACAUAGAGAAACUGACCAAAGGCGCGGACAGCUGGUCCCUAGCCGAGGUGGUUCACGCGAUAGUUCUUCUGGCCCACUUCCACUCCCUCUCGUCUUUCGUGUUUUCUUGCGGCAUCAACGAGGAGCUGGACAACGUCGCCGGGCACCAUUACAAAGAGAACGUCCAGGAUAAUAGCAAUAACGUACCAACUGCCAAAGACAAGCUUACGAGUAGUCCCAAGAAGAUUCCCAAUGGCGAUGGCAAGACUGAAAACAUGCCGUCGCCGCCAUCCUCGCCGAGCAUAGUGGGUGAGCAGGAGGUCGGCGUCGAGGCGCUGAUGGAACGCAUGAAACGCCUGUCCGAGAAAUCCGAGUCUUAUCAGAUCACGCAGGAAGAGCUGUCAAAAAGAUUCGAGACCGUGGAAACGCAGUCGGCCGAGCUGACUGCGGCGCCUCAGAGAAGUAGUUCAGUCCUCGACUCUGACAUCGGUCACUUCAUCGAGGACCCUACCUUCAUCUACCAGGACUUCGCCAAGCGUGGUCAACUGAACGACAUACCGACCUUCCGCGUGCAAGACUACUCCUGGGACGACCACGGAUACUCGCUGGUGAACCGUCUGUACAACGACGUCGGCAACCUGCUCGACGACAAGUUCAAGAUAGCCUACAACCUCACCUACUACACCAUGGGCACGCACAGCGAGGUGGACACGUCCCGUUUCAGACGAGCGAUCUGGAACUACAUACAGUGCAUGUUCGGCAUCAGGCACGACGAUUACGACUACAACGAGGUGAACCAACUCCUCGAGCGUAGUCUGAAGACGUUCAUCAAGAGCGCCGUUUGCUAUCCGGAGCGCGUGACCAAAAGGGAUUACGAUCGCGUGAUGAGGGAGUUCAAGCACAGCGAGAAGGUGCACGUGAAUCUGAUGAUCCUGGAGGCACGCAUGCAAGCGGAGCUACUGUACGCGCUCCGCGCGGUGAUGCGAUAUAUGACCUAAGCGAAGCACCGCCGUCGCUCCUUCGUCUACUUGCUGUCUGUCAGUUUGUCGUCGGUUUAUUUUAUCGUGUAACUCGCGCCACGGAUAUUCGCGAGGCGUCUUUGCGGACUCUGCACACGGCACAGAAAGGAACGAGCGAACGCGACACCGAUUCUCACGCGACGGACAGGUACAUGGCGUAAACACGUACAGAACGCGCAAGUGUGAACGAAGAAGGAGAAAAAGAGGCCCCGAAAUUCGAGUGGUCCAUUGUGAGACGGCGUCGCGAGGUGUCCGUCGUUUGCUCGUCGCUCGUAACGUAAAACGACCGAGAUUUCCUCCACGAGUCCAUCAGUGCCGAACGGAGGGAAAGAAUCGACGAAGGGAGAGAGAGGAAAGCUUCGCGAGGCGCGUGGAAGAAGAGGGAAAAAUUCGACGCGAACGCACCCCCGGGCACCGGCCCCCGGCCCCGACGAACGUCGAUCGGUCGCGGCGAGGAAAAAGCCGAUCCUCGAAUCGACGACGGUAAGCUAUCGACGGUGCGUCUUUGGAUCUCCGGGCGCAUCGUUCGAGGCGAUCUUUUUGUAUUUGGCGCGCGACCGUUUCCGCCCUGCGAGGAGCUGAAACGCGCACGCGUUCAUUUUUCUGCUCGAUUUAUUUUUGGCAAUUUUGGAUACCCCCGACGCGACAGGGGGCGAAGAGGAGAGGAUACGCGAGGGAGAAAGAGAGACGUGGAACGUUAAACAGACGGAGACACGCGUACCGAAGUGAUGAAGAGAGAGAAAGGAGAGAGUGAGAGUGAGAAUGUGAGAGAAAGAGAGAGCGAGAGAGCGAGAGAGAGGUUUAUCGUUUGUUUUGUAAAUAGACACUCGUAUUUUUCUAUGUUCGCGAAGAUAUCGUGUAGUAGACUGUUAUUUGCGCGUUUCGUUAUAGCGUUUCAGAUCUGUUGAAGCUUUUGCCCCUUCCCCGAUCGCGUCGCGUUUAACCUUCCGGUAGAGUUGCAACUUGUAGCCACUUUUCCACGGUAUAUAUGUAUAUGUUAUAUAUAUAUAUAUAUAUCCCGCUUUGAGUUUUACACGAUUCGCAGGUGUACGACAGAUGAUAGUGAUUAUUAUUACGCUAUAUUCGCGACUAUUUUUUAUCCGCCCUUUCGUUUUUUUUUUUUUUUUUUUUUUUAG
rnacentral:misc_RNA from 1 species